rnacentral:ncRNA from 2 species
AUUAAAUUUCGAGCGCAUGACCCCGACGUUACGUCGGGAUGACGAGGAGAGGGCCCCGCCCAUAGCGGGGAAUCGGACUUGAUUUUACUUAAGGAUUAUAAUCCUGAGCGAAGUCGAAGGAUCAGCGGAAACCCUCAUGCUUGGUUAUAGCUGUUUGUCUUAAAACCCAAAAGCAAUCUUGGGGCCAAAGGAUAAACUAAUAACUACU